rnacentral:rRNA from 1 species
AUUGAACGCUGGCGGCAGGCCUAACACAUGCAAGUCGAACGGCAGCACAGAAGAGCUUGCUCUUUGGGUGGCGAGUGGCGGACGGGUGAGUAAUGUCUGGGAAACUGCCCGAUGGAGGGGGAUAACUACUGGAAACGGUAGCUAAUACCGCAUAACGUCGCGAGACCAAAGUGGGGGACCUUCGGGCCUCACACCAUCGGAUGUGCCCAGAUGGGAUUAGCUAGUAGGUGGGGUAAUGGCUCACCUAGGCGACGAUCCCUAGCUGGUCUGAGGGGAUGACCAGCCACACUGGAACUGAGACACGGUCCAGACUCCUACGGGAGGCAGCAGUGGGGAAUAUUGCACAAUGGGCGCAAGCCUGAUGCAGCCAUGCCGCGUGUAUGAAGAGGGCCUUCGGGUUGUAAAGUACUUUCAGCGGGGAGGAAGGCGGUGAGGUUAAUAACCUCGCCGAUUGACGUUACCCGCAGAAGAAGCACCGGCUAACUCCGUGCCAGCCGCCGCAGUAA